AUUGAACGCUGGCGGCAUGCCUUACACAUGCAAGUCGAACGGCAGCAUGGAAGAGCUUGCUCUUCUGAUGGCGAGUGGCGAACGGGUGAGUAAAGCAUCGGAACGUACCGUGUAAUGGGGGAUAACGUAGCGAAAGUUACGCUAAUACCGCAUACGACCUGAGGGUGAAAGCAGGGGAUCGCAAGACCUUGCGUUAUACGAGCGGCCGAUGUCAGAUUAGCUAGUUGGUAGGGUAAAGGCCUACCAAGGCGACGAUCUGUAGCGGGUCUGAGAGGAUGAUCCGCCACACUGGGACUGAGACACGGCCCAGACUCCUACGGGAGGCAGCAGUGGGGAAUUUUGGACAAUGGGGGCAACCCUGAUCCAGCCAUGCCGCGUGAGUGAAGAAGGCCUUCGGGUUGUAAAGCUCUUUCGGCCGGGAAGAAAUCGCACAGGCUAAUACUCUGUGUGGAUGACGGUACCGGCAUAAGAAGCACCAGCUAACUACGUGCCAGCAGCCGCAGUAA
rnacentral:rRNA from 1 species